rnacentral:rRNA from 1 species
GAUGAACGCUGGCGGCGUGCCUAAUACAUGCAAGUCGAACGAGGUGCUUUUGUAGCAAUACGAGAGUAUCCUAGUGGCGAACGGGUGGGUAACGCGUUGGUGACCUACCCCAAAGUGUGGGAUAACAGUCCGAAAGGAUUGCUAAUACCGCAUGUGGUCUUCGGAUUUAGAAACUGAUGAAUAUAGGAGCAAUUCGCUUUGGGAGGGACCUGCGUCCCAUCAGCUAGUUGGUGAGGUAACGGCUCACCAAGGCGACGACGGGUAGGGGACCUGAGAGGGUGGCCCCCCACAAUGGAACUGAAACACGGUCCAUACACCUACGGGUGGCAGCAGUAGGGAAUAUUGCACAAUGGGCGAAAGCCUGAUGCAGCAACGCCGCGUGUGCGAUGAAGGCCUUCGGGUCGUAAAGCACUUUUCUGAGGGAUGUGAAAGGACAGUACCUCAGGAAUAAGUCUCGGCUAACUACGUGCCAGCCGCCGCAGUAAAAC